rnacentral:lncRNA from 1 species
GUUGUGUUGUAUUUGGGGAGUGAGGGAAUGAUUCUAACCGCUGUGGGGUUUUCUCCGGUGAAGACUUCGUGCCAGUAGAAUCUGAAGUGGCUUAGGGUUUUCUUGUGCUUUAUGCCUAUGGACUUUGGGUCUAGUGUGCCCACAAAGCCUGUGUAUUCUGCUGAGAUGGUUAGGGUUAAGGUGGAGAGGAAAAGGAGGGAUUUGAGGAACUGGGUAGCCAUGGUUCUUUGGUGGGUGUUAAUUGGAGGAAGUGGAUUGGGCGAAGAGAGUGAUAUGAAUGCAAGGAUAUUUAUAAGGUGGGAGAAGCAUCGGAAUAGGUGAUUUGGGUUUGAGCUUAGUGAUUCAAUCUAAUUAACUAACACCAUAGUUUGAGGGACAAUUGAUUGGAGACACUAUGAUAAUGUUUUGAAGUUUGAAUUAAUCCUACUAUAUACCGAGAUCAAGAAUACUAGUUGAAAUUCUUUUUUUGGAUAUGCUCACUCUAACUUAUGUUUUUACUCGCGACUUUUUCUCGUUUAAUAUUCAUAACUACGAGUGACCAAAGUGUUUACGGCCAAUAUCGACAUAAGUUAUUUUUCACUGAUAUUGGCCAAGGUAUUUUUGGUCAUAAUUUUUUUGUAUGAUGUCAAACAAAGUUAUUUUUUGCCGAUAUCGGCUGAGAUUUUUUUUAGAUGAUGUUGGUUAGGGUUAUUUUCUCACUGACGUCAGUCAUGGAAAAUUUUUGCUAACGUCGGCCGAUGAUUUUUUUGGUCGUUGUUAUCUAGAUUUUUUCAGUUAAUGUUGAUCAAUCAUUUUAUGGCCGACAUUGGCUAGAUUUUUUCUACUGACAUCGGUCAUGAUUAACUUUUGAGUAGACAUCUGUUAGGGUUUUUCAGCUGACGUCAGUUAGAUUUUUCAAGCCAACAUCAGUCAAAGCUAUUUUUUAGCCAAUAUCGGCUAGGGUUAUUUUUUUAGCCGAUGUUAGCUAGGGUGUUUUGGUUGAUGUCAACUAGAUUUUCUUAGCCGACGUCCGUUAGGAUUUUUUUGCUGACAUCGACUAGGGUUUUUUGGCUGACAUCAACCAGAGCUAUUUCUUAAUCACAUUAAUUAGCUUGUUUUUUGGUUGAUGUUGGCUAGGGUUUUUUCUACUAACACCAGUUAAGUAUUUUUGACCGACAUCGGGCAUGACUAUUUUUAGUCGACAUCGACCUAGGUUCUUACAGUCGACAUCCACUAGAGAUUUUUCGGUGAACAUCAGUCAAAGCUAUUUUUUAGCCAACAUUAGUCAAUGCUAUUUUAUAGCCGAUGUUGUGUAGGGUUUUUUGUCUGACAUUGGUCAGAGCUGUUUUUUAGCCAACUCCGAUAAGGGAUUUUUUGGCCAACGUUGACCCAUGAUGUUUUUCAGCCGACAUCGGAUAGGUUCUAUUGGUCAGCAUCGACCAAGCUAUUUUUUAGCCAAUAUUAGGUAGAUUUUUUUUAUCAACACCUGCUAGAAUUUUUUAGGCCAACAUUGUCUAAAAAUAACCUUAGUUAAUGUCAUUCAAAAAGACCCUAGCUGGUAUCGGCCAAACAAACCCUAGCCGACGUUGGUAAAAGAAUCUAGCCAACAUCGACUGAAAAACAAACUUAACAAACGUUAGCCAAAAAAUAACCUUGACUAACGUCAACUGACAAAUAUUCUCGAAUCCCAUUUGAUGUCGACCGAAAAAUAACCUUGGUUGAUGCCGGUUGAAAAACAUCACCAAUUGUGGUCAGGCAAAACAAUCCUAAUUAAAAUUAUCAAUAUUUUAUAUUUGUAAAUUAUUAAAAAUUGAAAAUAUUUUUUAAUUAAUAUUUUAAAAUUAGAUUGUGUUUAUUUUCUAUAAAGAUUAAUAUUAAAAUUUCAUCUAUUUAAAAUAUAAAAUUGAAAUUUUGCAUAUGAAGAAAAUUGAAUUAUCUUAUCCAAACAAAGAAUUUAAAAUGAAAAAAAUUUGAAUUAAUUUAUCCAAAUAAAACCUUUAAAAAUAAAAAAAAUUAAAAGCAAAACAAUUCAAAUUCUAAAAAUUUUAAAUUCCUUAAAAUUUUGAAAUUCCAAUCCAAAUACAAGAUUAUCAUUUUGUUUGACUAGGCUUAAUCGGUGAUCGAAUAGUCAGAGAAACCAACAGAGGUGAGACUUAUUUGAGGUAUGAAUUGCGAUGAUCAUGACCAGAAUCGCUCGCCUCAUGUUUGAUUCUUUAUUAUAUUUUAUGGGAAAAUUAUGGCUGAACAACCUUAUAUACUUGACACUUAAUAGAGAUACAGAAAGAAGAGAUAUACAUAGAAAUAAUGUACUAUUAAUUAGUGUUUAUAGUAAAACUAUGUUGACAUAUCAUUACUUAUUACGACAUUUAGGGGUGGGAAUAAGCCAGGCCAGACCAGACUUUAAAAGGCCUGAGCCUAGCCUACGAUAAAUUUUUGAGGCCAGAGCCUGACCUAUAGCCUAUCAAAGGCUUUUUAUUUUAGCUCGGUCUGGCCUUUUUAAAAGUCUAACCUAGCCUGAUAGUCUUUUUAAAAGCUUUUUUAUAUUUGUUUGUUUUAGGGUAGAAAUGUAAUAGGAAAGUUAAUGGAAAAGGAAACGUUAACCAGAAUAGGAAAGCCAAUAAAAAUAAUGAGUAAUAUAAAGGGACACAUGACUCACACCUAAAUUGUAAUUAAAGUCUUACUUGAUUAUAGGAAUGAAAGUUAUGCAGCAAUAAUUUGUAAUCAAAGUCUGUUGGUUUCAAAAAAAAAAUUAAUUGUACCCAAAAAAUAAUAUAAAUAUAAACUGGUACCAAAAAAAAAUAUAAAUAUAUAUACAUAUAUAUAGGCCGGUCUAUCAGGCUUAUAAGGUUUUUUAACAAGCUUAAGCCUUGUCUAUUUAAUUUAAUAGGCUUUUAAAAAAGCUUAAACUUAAUCUUUUAAUUAAAUAGGCCAGUUCAGACCAAACUUUAUGUAGGUCAGAUCGUAAGUCUCUGUAGACCAGUCUGACUUAUUUCCACCCCUAACGACAUCAUGUUUGAUUGUUGGUGUGUCAUUAAUUUUCAAUUCUUCUAAACAAAUACGAAAUUCUGACUAAAUCAAACUAUGAGUGUUGACUAUGAAUUAAUUAAUUUAUUAAAUUAUGGAUGGGCCACUUGAUUGACGUAAGCUCGAUUAUUAUAAGGACCUCCGGCUCCCACUUAAAAAAUGGAAUAUUUAUUUCUGAAAAAACUACUUUUUUUAUUACAGGGAAAACCUAAAUCCGUUGUAAAGCAAUAUAAAUUUUAAAUAUAUAGUAAGCGAUUUAAUAAUUUUUUAUUAAGUAUAAAAUGAAAAGUAAAUGGGAUGUAUCUUUCAAAUAAAAAGUAAAUGAGAUGUAGAAUAAAAAAAAAAAAAAAGAUAUCACCAUUAUGUCAUUAUUGUGUUUGCAGAAAAUUAUAUUUUAAACUAAUCAAAAGCUUGGUGAAAUUUAAUAUAUCAAAUUAGUUUAAAAAGAUAAUUUUAUAGUUAAUUGAAAAAAAAUGUUAACUAAUAAUAAUCUCUUUAUAAACUUAUUACUAUGAACUAAUAAUAUCUUUUAUAUAUAUAUAUAUAUAUAUAUAUAUAUAUAUAUAUAUUAAAUCCAACUAAUAUCUAAUAGUUUAGUACUCUUGGUCCUUCUAGCGCUGUUUACAAAAGUUAAAUCUCACAUGUGAAGAGUUAACCAAAUCAUUAAGAAGAUAUUAAUAGUGUAAUGCUACAGUUUGAGUCAGAUCGAUGGGUGAAGAUUUAAGAAUAUUUAAUUGAAUGAAUUCUUUAAAGUAUGGCAAUAUAUAUAACCGUGGUUAGAGGAGUUAAAAAGAUGAUAAAAGAAGCUACGACCAUUUAGAUUCUGCUUAUAUAUCUUAAAAACAAAAAGAUUAGAGAAAUUGACGUGAUAAAUUCAUAUCCAAUGCUUCAACUUUUACAUAAAAAUAGAUAUAUACUAUAUAAAGUACUAAGCAAUACAGGAUUGAUUAUGUACGUACGAUUUUUCAAAUAAAAUAAAAGGUAUUUAACUUCAAUUUUAUGUAAGAAAACCUAGAAAUAUGAAUUCUAAAAUAUUUUUUAUCCAAAUAUAUUACAAAAGUUUUUUAAGGAGGGGGGUUGCAAAGAUAUAUAAUAAACAAAGAGAUUAUAUAUAUAUAUAUAUAUAUAUAUAUAUAUAUAUAUAUAUAUAUAUAUAUAUAUAUAUAUAUACACGCGCGCGUAGAAUAACAUAAGCAAAUUAGGAUACUUGCUACAUGGUUCUUUAAGAGGGAUUAAAGUAUAUGCUUAGAUUAGUUUAGGUUUGAUGAUUGCCUUCUGCUUUGUCAACUUUCUUUGUGUAUUUGUUUCAUUUGUAAUGUUGUUGAACAUUGAGAGACUCUGAGUGGCAUUUAAGGCUAGUCUUUUACUUAGUUAUUUAUAUUUAGUAUGUAUGAGUGCAUGAAUGCAUAGCAUGUGAUAUGCCCUAGCUUAAAAACCUUUUUGGAACCCUUCAAAACCUCAAAAAAUAUUUGAAUACUUAACCAACAGGGAAUAAUUUUUUUUUUUUUAUCUUUCAGACAAGUACUCAAAUAUUUUUUUAUCUAAAUGAAAAGUAUUUGAAUACUUCUGAUCUAGAUUAAAAAAAUAUAAAUUGUAUUCUAUGCUUUAAAAAUCAUAACAAAUAUCAUUCUAUUAGCUUUGAAAAUUGGGGAAAUCAUUUUCUAAGGAAAGAUUAAGAUACCUGCUUUGGAAGAUUGCUACAAAUGCGUUAGCGUUACAAAUAAUACCAAUGUGGCGAGAAAAUUGAGACACUUUGCUGAAAACGAUACUUCCUUAUAAGGAGACCAUUUAUCAUAUUUUCAGGCUAUGUUCAACUUCUAAUCUGAUUUGGCAAAAGCUGUUGGUAGAUCCCCCGCGGUAUGAUUUUUACCAUAUUAAUUUUAAAGAUUGGUCGAGGCACAAUUUAUUGCCUACAUAUAUGAAUUUAAAGUGGAACUUAAUUUUGUGGUUACCUUGAAUUAUUUAUGGCGUUUUAGAAAGACUUAAAUUUAAAUAUGUUUUUUCUUAUUUCUAAUAAAUAUUUGAAUUUUGUGAUUGAUUUUUAAUAUAUUGAUGAUCACAGACUCUGAAUUUACCAUCAUUCUUCAGCACUUUAAAAUUAUGCAUGACAUAAGUAGAAUUUUCCUUCAAAUCAGCCUUCCAAGACUUUAGCUGAUCUUGUUUACAAACAACAUGGAUUUCAUCUCCCUAUAAUAUACAAACCAUAUGAAUAGCUGAUUGAAUGGUCAAUAAUAUAGCAAUGCAAAGAACCGGAAAAACCAUACAUUAGAAUCAACAAUAAUCAUUUUAGCCUGUUCGAACUUACGGGGGAUCCCAAUGAACCAAAGAUCAGUGAUCCUUACAGCAAGUUUAAGAGUUUCUCUUAAACCAUCAAUCGACUUAAUCUUAUCAGGAGAACAUGUCAUAACUCUGCAUAAAAUUGCUUGCUCCUAAAUCUAUGAUGUAGUAAAUGGAAAAACCUGAGCAACAGUGGUUAUAAAAAUAGAUGAUAAGAUAAGAUCUCAACAUAUAGGCAAACCAAUAAAAGUGUCCCUCAAACACUCUCUAAAUCCAAAGGCAACAAAAAAAUUAAAGCCUGGUCAUAUCAACAAACACUAACAGACGAAAAGCAAACAUGCAUAGACAUCCAGGCGUGUUAUUGCAAAAACAAUAUCUUACUCCUAUCACAACCAAAUGCAACACCUGACAAAACACAAACUGAAAGAGAAAUGGAACCCAGCAUAGUCAGCAAAGAAACAAAAAACAAACUGGAAAAAGCAGCCGAAUGAAGAAACACACGGGGAAAGCCAAACUGGAAAAAGCAAUCGAUGAAUCAACCUUAAGUCUGGCAACAACCAGUAAGGAGUCAAAAGCAAGCAUGCAUAAACAUACAACAACUUUGCUGCAAAACUAUUACCUUCACUUCCCACAACCAAAAUGAACAACAGGGGAAAGCCAAAUUGGAAAACAAAACACACUCAGUCAAAAACAAACUAGGAAAGUUACCAACAAAGCAAAAAGAAAGCUUGAAAAUUACACAAAAAGGCAAAAAAACAGAUCCAGCCACCGCAAAAGCAGUCAUGCAAAACAUACAAAAAAACUCACAGAUUAAAAUGCAGGAUCAACCAAAAGGCAACGAACUUUGUAAACCCAAAAGCAACAAAAAACCUCAUAAUAAAGAAGAAGAUAAGAGUCACACUUGAAUAUCAGCCAGGAAAAAUUAAACCUCUGUUGUGCCAACAAACAGUAAUAUAGGAAAAGCAAGCAUGCAUAAAUAUCAAACACCAUCACUCGAAAAAGAUUAUCUUACUCUUGUCACAACCAAACGGAACACCUGACAAAACGCAAACUGAAAGACAAAGCAAACUCAGCAAAGUCAGCAAAGAAGCAAAAACAAAUUGAAAAAAACAAUCGAAAAAAGGCACACUCAACAAUAAUAGAACAUGAAUCAACCUUAAGUCUCUAAACAACAAAUAUAAGAAGUGAAACGCAAGCAUGCAUAAACAAACAACAAUGUUGCUGCAAAAGUAUUACCUUCACUUCACCCAACCAAACCAAACAACGCAGCAAACCCAAAGUGCGAAACAAACCCAACUCAGGCAAAAACAAAGUAGGAAAGUUAGCAAAGAACCAAAAAGAAAGCUGGAAAAUAGCACAAAAAAGGCACUAAAACAGAUGCAGGCACGACAAAAACAUCCAUGCAUAUGCAUAAAAUACAAAAAAACUCAUACCUUAAAAUGCAGAAGCAAUAGAACUAGAAAAGCUAGGAAGUAAAAGUGUAACAUCACAUUUUUUUCGUAAAUAAAUUUUAAAACCUUUUUAGUAAAAAUAAAUAAAUAAAUAAAUAAAUAUAGAGCAAAUAAUAGACUGAGUACCCUAGGUAUAAAUAGCUAUGUUAAGUCAGGUGUCUCCUCUUUGCCUCAUUUUCGUUUUUCUCUUUUCUCGUCUCAAAACCCUUUCUUUUCCCGCAGCGCACCAAACCUGUCUCAGAAAAAUGACGAUCUCGGACUCAUUCACCGUUGGAUCGUCAUGAAAUUUAAACACCAGGUUUGAAACCCAAUUCUCAGAAUUCUCACCGUUGGGAAUUUAAAAAUCAUGUCUGAGAUUAGAGUAAAACCCAUCGAAUUGUAGCCUUUUAUUUUCUCGCAAAAACCCAAAAAUAUCUUGGUAAAACUACGAUUCCAGAUUCGUUAACCGUUGGAUUGUAGUCAAAUUUGGACAUGUUGUUAGAAAUUCAAUUGCGCACACUUUCACCGUUGGGAUUUGCGAGAUAAUACUCAUGGAGAGAGGAAAAAGCUGGAGGAAUCUCAGGGAACCACUAGAGAUGCUGUUAUCGCUGGCUGAAGAUACGUGAGCCCGCUUAGAGGUAAGGGAUGAGUUAUUCACAAUUGGGGAUUAGUGAGAACAUGUGUAGGGAUCCUUAGAGUAUCAAUUGGAAUAGGUUUUGGGGUGUUUCCAUCAUUUUUUAUUCUAUCCGUAUAGUUAUAAUUGUGAAUUAUAUAUGUUUGACAAACCAAUUGUUGUGAAAUUGAUAUGCUAUUGUGUUGAGCGUGAACCCUAUAAAUCAAGCAUUUUUCUAAUUAACAUGAAUUGAUGAAAUAAAGUAAGGAGAAAUUUAGAGUGAGAUAUUGAUUUUUUAUUUUCUCUUUUUCUUGCUUUUUAGGUUUUUUAUAUAUAAUUUAAAAAUUAAUAUCAUAAUUGAAAUUGACCAAAGUGUUCAUAUAAUUAUUUAGAAUUUGUGCAUUGAAAGUUUACUUUGAAAUUUGUUAUUCAUUAUGAUGUAUGCUAGUUUAUAUAUAUAGAAGUAUGUAUUUAUAUUAAUAAUUUAUGUAAAUAAUAUUAUAGAGUGUUAUAGUAUGAUUCCAAAAAAUUAUUAAGUGUUGGAGUUUUAGAAUUUUAUGGUUAAAUUUGAUGAACAUGUGUAUGUUGUACCUUAUGAAUAUCAUUAGGAAUGUUAUGAGAUGGUUGAUGUGAUGUUAUGAGAUGUUAAAGUGUGGGCAUGAUAUUCGAUUGUGAAUAAGUGGAUGUGUUUAACACUUGAUGUUACAUUAAUUAUAUUAUGAGCUAUGAAUUAUACAAUAACCCAACCAGUGUUUAUGCCCAGUGUUAAAGAGAAAGUAUAGGUUCCUAGUUAGGAACCAGUGUUAAAUUGUAGCGCAAUGUGUUAAACGUGUUUGAAACAUGAGUGUGAGGUCGUGGUAUUGUGUAAUUCAUGAGCAGUGUUUAUAAAUGAAAUAUGUGAUGAAUUGUGGAAUAACAUGUUGCUUUGAGAUUAUAAUAUUGUUUUUGAGAUUGAGUAUAAGUGUAAAGUUGAACAUGUGUUAAUUUGUGAGAUACGUGUAAACAUGUGAUGGUGGAUUGUGACACUAUGAGAUGUGAAAUUGUGAAUGAGUUUUAGUUGUGGAUAAGUGUGUAGUUAACACUUGAUGUGAAAUUACUUGUGUUGUAAGCUAUUAAUUGUACAAUAACCCGACCAGUGUUAUCUUGAGAAAAGUGUUGAUGCGCAGUGUUAAAGAGAAAAUGUAGGUUUCCUAUUUAGGAACCAGUGUUAAAUCGUAGCGCAAUUGUGUUGAACAUGUUUAAAACACGAGUGUAAGGUCGUGGGUAUUGUAAAAUUCAUGAGCAGUGUCUGCAUGCAAAAAUUAUUUUAGGGUUGGACCUGAAUCAGGAGGGAGAGGCCUUGACGGACUCUUCGGAGUGUAGGCCUUGCGGGUCACCGGGUUUGAGUGCUCAUUUAAGCCUAUGCUGAUCCCAUAUGGUUGGAGUAUUCUCGCAAAACAUCGUGACCCUGACUGGUCUCGCUAUUACUUAGUGAGAGUGACCUGACAAACCCAUUGUGUGGUGUGUCUUGUUAUGUACUCCUAAGUGCCCCAAGGUGGUUUUUCACUGACAUGGUACCACAUUGCAUAUAGGUUUGAGUCUUAGCAUAACUGUUGCAUACGCUUGCUAAUUGUUUAUUAUGAAAUUGAUGUGUUAUUACGUCUUGAUCAGAGUGUGUGAUUCUUGUGUAAUGUGAUUGAUUGUUGAAAAGUGUGAUUGAUGAUUGAAAGACAAAUUUCAAAUGACAAAGUGGGGGAAUUAUGUUUAAGUAAGUUUUAUUUUAUUUAUAUGAUAUGUAUAUCUAGUUGUCUUGCUUCUCUAUUAGUUAGGAAUGUGAUAACUCACUCCCUGUGUGUUGUUUGUGUUUGGAUCCUGUGAUGAUCUUGAACUUUGUGUUCGGGGUAGCAGAUGACUAGGUGAAUUGUUUUCAAGGAACCUUGUGCUGAAGGACGUCAAGACACAACGCUCUGAUAGGAUGUGACAUUGGGGUAUAGGGUUUUAUAUUAAUUGUAUGAAGUCUUAGACGACCUUGUUUGAGCCAAUGACUUUAUUAUUUAUUUGGACAAGUUUGAAUAUGAUGUAGAAGAAAGUGAUUGUGAACCUUUUAUCUCUUUGAAAGACUUGUAUUUAAAAAUGUUUUUUAAAAAAUACUUUUAAUUAAUAUUUGAUUUUUUAUUCUUUUGUUAGUAUAUAUGUGAGGGGUAGAGGGUGUUACAAAAAGGAAGCAAAUGAAAAUGAUACAAAGCACCACCCUAAAACCACAAUCACAGAAUGAUACAAAACAACAACCCAAAACCAUAAUAACCGGAAAGCUUUAAUCAUAAAACCAUGUGGUUCAGCAAAAGAGUGACAAACUCACAAACUGGUUAAACAUCUCAACGUGGCAGAAAAAAAAGGCAACACAACAAGCAGGUGGCAGAAAACAAAGCAACAGGUGGCACAAAACCAAGCCAAAGCUGGAGGGAUAUAAAAUGACCAAAAAGCCAAGAAAAUGGACAUGUGUCAAAUUAUUGGGUAGGGGCACAAUAGUAAUUUUCCUGGAAUUCUCUUUUAAUAUAUAGUAUAUAGAUAAGUAAAAGUAUCCAUAGGUAUAAGUCUUUAUAAAUUUUACUUACUCUAAACAUUGGUAAGUAUAAGUUCUUUUAUUUUUACCUACAUAUAAAGAUAAGUACAAGUCAUUUUGUUUUUACUUAUAUUAAAUACUAUGUAGGUAUGUAUAAGUUUAUUUGAGUUCUAUGUGGACUAGGCAUGGCACCCACGUGGGGCAGGGGCAGGGAGUACUCACCCGUUCCUUGUCCCCGUCCCCGAACCUUACCAUAUUCUUUGUGGUGGGGGUAUUUUUUGUCCCGUCCCCAUUCCCUGUCCCAUUCCUUGGCUCCACGUGGGGACCUUUGGAGACCCCGUUUUACAUUAAAAAAAUGUCAAAAAUUAUAAAAAAAAAUACAAUUCUUUUGUUUUAUCUCAAUUUUUCAACAAUAAUAAAUUUAAGGUUUAAUUCUAAGUUUGAAACAUGAUUAAAAAUACCAAAAUAAAUCAAUAAUAAUAAUAAUAAAAUCAUAUAAGCAUAAAAACAUCCAAGAAAUAUCCAAGUACACAUUAGGAUUUGGGUAAUGUUUGUGUCUUUGUGACUUGUGAGAUAUUACUUAUAUAUAUGAUAAUUUUAUUUUAUAUUUUUUACUAGUAAAAUACUAUAUUAACCUUUAUAUUUAUAUUAUACAUAUUAUAAGUUAUGAGAGUAUAUAGGUAAAAUUCUAUAUACGCAGGGAUACGAGGACCCUGCGGGGCGGGAAACAUAGUCUCUGUCCCCGAAUUAGUUGUGGGGGAUUUUUCAUCUUCAUCCCCGUUCCAGUGAAAAAAUUUUCUCCGAUCACAGGGUCCCAAAUGGGGUAGUCCCUGCGAAGAUCCCCUAAUUACAGGGAGAAUUGUCAUGCCUAACGUGGACUAAAUUAUGUCUAUAGGUAAAAAUGAUUAUAGUUAGAUGACAAUUUUCUUGUGGUGAUAUAAUUAAUCUGUUAUGAUUUCAGGAUCUUCACAAGAAAGAUAAAAAAGAAAAGUCAACAAAAGCUUCACCUACCACGUCUCCAAAGGUAUGAAUAUAUACUUCCUUUUGCUAAAAUGUAAAUAUGAGUUUUACAUCCGUCUUAUAUACAAGACAAUAAUCAGUACUCUCCGUUACCCUUAACCAAAUUAUGUGAUUUUGGUAUAAAUAUGAAGAGGAUUUUUUUUCCACAAAUAUCUGAGUUGUUUGUUUGAAGAGACUUGUAAAAUUAUUUGGGUUUAAGCAAGCAAUGAUUUGGAAAAUAAUACUUAUAACUUUGUACAAGUAUAAUUUGAUAGUAUACCAAUAAUUGAGCUAGUCUCAAUGAUAAGUUGACGAACUACUAUAUUUUUUUAUAUUUAUUGAUUUAUUGUUAUCAUCUAUUUAACUAACCUUGUAUCUCAAACAAUCUAUUUAUCUUGUUCUUUUUUUAUAAGGAUGACAAUUGAUACUUUUUACACUGGUUCAAACUUGAAUCGAUGCAGAAAUUAUUUUAUAAAUUAAUUUUAAGUCUGAUAUAGAAUAAAGUCUCUCUUUUAACGUUACCUGGAUCUGUAUUAGUUCAUUAAUUGAAGAAGACAACUCUAGAUAAUUGUUGUAGAAAGCUCCAAUUUGGUAUUUGUUCACCUCCAAAUAUAAUUAUUAAUAAUAAUUAAUAAAAAUAGAAAAAGUUAAAAUAACAAUAAAAUUUUCUGUAAAAAUUAUUUAAUUUAAAUAAAUUUUUAGUCUUAUAAAAUAUAUUUUAUUUUAGUCCUUUAAAAUUUGUCUUCGGUUUUAAUCUCCGGAAACUUUAACUAUUUUUGCUGCAAUCUUGUCAUCAUUAAGUAACAAUGUUACUUAUGACAUAGCAAUGUAGUCCAUUAAUUUUACUCCAUCCCUCAAAUCAUGAAAAAAAUCUUUAAAUUAAGUAUCAAAGUUAAAAACUUGUUAUAUUAUGGAAAUCAAAAUGUAGUUAAGUUAAGUCCAAUUAUUCUAAAUUUACUGAAUUGUAUCGGAAUUUGAACAUACAUACACCCCAAUUUUGGAGUAUAUGGGUAGAGGAAAGAGAAAGAUAAGAAUUAAAAGAAAAAGAAAAGAGAGAAACUGAAACAUAUAUAAUAAGUACAUAAUGUGAGUCCAUGACAUUAUUAAUAAGAAAUAAAAGUAAGAAUCAUUAUCCAACUCAUUAAAUUUGCCCAAACAUGACUUUAUUCCAUGACACCACGUGCCCCCAUGAAAAGAGGAAACUUAAAUAGAAACAAAGUGACAAACAUCAAAGUCGUGACAGCACAUCAAUGUGAAAAAAAGAAAAGAAAAAAAAACACAUUAAACAUUCAUCAAUAGUAAAUAUACACGUCGAACUGAACCGUGUUAUUCCUCGUUUGGGGAUCAAAACUGAGAGUCCUGGACUCAAUAUACCCAGUGGCAAAUUUGAAGACCCCACUUCCACCAACAAUGGGCAACUCCCUCACCUUCUCCGAGAGGGGGCUCCUCCCAGUGAACGUGAUGGUGCUGCCGUUGUACUUCCCUUGUGUCAAUGCGAAGUUGAAAAUCAGCAAAAGAUCCAACUGCGUUUGCGACGUGGAGGCAAACAAGCCCUCGGCUUUUCCGACAACCUUGGAGUAAACCUCGGGUCCCACAGUUAAAGCGUUGUCGAAGAUCCCAACCGAACCAAAGGUUGUGGUUGUGUUGUAUUUGGGGAGUGCGGGAAUGAUUCUAACCGAUGUGGGGUUUUCUCCGCUGAAGACUUCGUGCCAGUAGAAUCUGAAGUGGCUUAGGGUUUUCUUGUGCUUUAUGCCUAUGGACUUUGGGUCUAUUGUGCCCACAAAGCCUGUGUAUUCUGCUGAGAUGGUUAGGGUUAAGGUGGAGAGGAGAAGGAGGGAUUUGAGGAACUGGGUAGCCAUGGUUCUUUGGUGGGUGUUAUAAUUGGAGGAAGUGGAUUGGGUGAAGAGAGUGAUAUGAAUGCAAGGAUAUUUAUAAGGUGGGAGAAGCAUCGGAGUAGGUGGAUUUGGGUUUGAGCUUCUCUUGCUAGCUGUGAGUGAUUCAAUCUAAUUAACUAACACCUUAGUUUGAGGGACAAUUGACUGGAGACAUUAUAUUAUGAUAAUGUUUUGAAG